CUUGAAGCUCUCAGCAAGUAGCAAUACACUCAAGUUAAAGGAAGGUCUUGUUCCUUUUCUUGAUAAUGCUGCUCAUGAAAACAUUGUCAUAGACUUACAAGAUGUAUUCAAGAGAUUCAUGUUUGAUACUUCUUCGAUUUCGUUGACUGGUUUCGACCCAAUGUCACUAUCCACCGAGAUGCCCGAAGUUGAGUACGGUGAAGCUACGGAAACCGGUGAAGAAGCGAUCUAUUAUAGACAUUUCAAACCGGUCAUCUUGUGGAGGCUUCAAAACUGGUUGGGUAUUGGACUCGAGAGGAAGAUGAGGUCUUCCUUAGUGACUGUCAACCGUAUGUUUGCGAAGAUCAUAUCCACAAGAAGAGAGGAGAUAAGUCGCGGCGAAGGCGAGCAAUUAAUGGACGCGCUAACGUAUUAUAUAAAUGUGGACACGACAAAAUAUAAGCUCUUGAAACCUAGUAAUGAUACGUUUAUACGAGACGUUGCUUUCAGUUUAUUGUUGGCAGGAAGGGACACGACAAGUUCAGUUCUCACUUGGUUCUUCUGGCUUCUUUCUAAGCAUCCUCGUGUAAUGACCAAAAUCCGACAAGAGAUCAACACAAAGUUUGAUCCGACAGAUCUAGAGAAGCUCGUGUAUCUACAUGCUACGUUGAACGAAACAAUGAGACUUUACCCACCGGUUCCCUUUAACCACAAGUCUCCUUUAAAGUCAGAUGUGCUUCCAAGCGGCCACAAAGUUAAAGCAGAAUCAAAGAUUGUGAUCUGUAUCUACGCAUUGGGUAGAAUGAGAUCUGUAUGGGGAGAAGACGCAUUGGAUUUUAAACCGGAGAGAUGGAUUUCAGAAAGUGGAGAGCUAAAACAUGAACCUUCAUACAAGUUCAUGGCUUUUAAUGCUGGUCCGAGAGCUUGCUUGGGUAAACAUUUGGCUCUCCCGCAGAUGAAAAUAGUAGCUGUAGAGAUCAUACAAAACUAUGACUUUAAGGUCACUGAAGGUCACAAGAUUGAAGCAGUGCCUUCUAUCGUUCUCCGUAUGAAAAAUGGUCUUAGUGUCACAGUCACUAAGAAGAUGUGAUUCUUAUUGAUAAUUGGAUUACUAGUAUUUAUGUGUUUGUUCGGCGCAAAUGUCAUCUAAAGUAAUAUUUGUAGUUGUGUUAUUUGUAUUAUUUAUAAGUGUGUCUCUAUUUCUAUUACUAUGUUUGUUCCCCGCAAAUUUGAUUUUAAAAUAUUAAAUAAAAUAUAAAAUUUAUAAUUGAUAUUGCCAAAGUUCAGCACAUAUUUUACUUUGGUUUCUGUCCAGAUUAGCUUUUAGGAUUGAACUAGAGAAUAACCAUUAAAAGAAUUAUAAAAAUGAAAAAGAAAAGAACGAAGAUUACAAAAUUAUCGGAAGAAAAUAUAGGUUAUUUAUUGUUCAUUUUCAAAUUUGAUGAUGAAUAGAAUGAAUUAUAUUUUGAUCUUAUGCUUCAAAAUGCGAGAUUAUUUUUUGAUUACAAAAACAUAUAUAAUAGAAAUUAUAAUUAAUUUAAAUAAUUUUUAUUUUAUUUUUUUUGUAUAGCUUAUGUUUAAUUUAGGUACAUAACUUCUUUUCGUUAUUUUAAAUUUGCAUUUUGAAAAAAAAAACAUUUAGAUCCACCGUCUGCGAAUAUAUUACUAAUUUAAAUACCUAAAUUUUGAUUAGAAAUAGUUGAUUCAAAGUGUUUUUUCAUUUAUUUUACAGUUGUAGUUACCAUGAAGAAAAAAUAGUAUUUGUUAUUUAUUAUUUGGCAAAACUCUCAAAUAGUCUUUUUUUUUAAACACUGAUUAUAUUAACAAAAUAUUACAUAGGUAGGAUUCAUUUUUGGAUUACAGUCCGGCAAGUUCUUCAAACCUCCGGAAACUAAAGCUCCAACAAAGGAGAGGCAAAGUCCCACACACGGGAAGACUAAAAGGAUAAUUACCAGAACCAAUCUAAAAUAGAAGAAGUGGGUAAACAGAUCAAAAUAAACCUUCACCUAAACGUGAACAAUAAAGCAUGAUGAUAAAUAGAGCUUCUUUGAACAAGGCAAAGCGAGACUGCCAUCCAUGACUAAAACCUCUGGUUUGCGAAUCCUCCUAUGGUGAAUAGCCCAUGCAAAUGAAAGACCAUAGCUUCAAGCUCCAGAAGACAGAACACGACAUGUUCAUGAGUCAUCAACUGGAAAUCGAUGGCGGAAAUGGAUUGACACGCCAUAAAGAAGCUAAACUGAAGAGAAGAUCUCGAUCGAAUCUUUUAAGUAAAUGACAAGGAGUGAAACUACUCAUAACCAGGAACAACCAUGCUCAAGAGACUGAGAAGGUCGCAGAUCGAGACCCAGAAUGAGCCAAAGACAGCUUAAAAUCAACAUGCAAAUCAAUUAAACUACACAUAAGGUUAUAAGACAAAACCAGAUCUGUAGGAUACUAAUAUCCAACCCACUUCGACUAGAUAGAUCAAUUAGAUAGAUCAACCGAACCGCUCAUCCCUUCCGGAAAAGAUCAGAUUGAAGAUCUGGAAACUAUCCGUCGAGAGUAACGAGAACAAGACUAGAAGAUCUAACCCGAGAAACUAAGAUAGAAAUAAAAAUAAAGACCGGCUCCGGCUCUGUGGAAGCAACCGGAGCCGGCGAAACUGGCGAGAUCAAGAGAAGAAACUUCUAGAGAGAAGGCAGAGGAUUUUAGAGAGAGGUUCAACAAUAUGGUUAAUAACUCUCAAAUAGUCUUUUCAAAAUUUUUGUUACAAAAUAACUCUCAAAAAAGAAAUAACCUAAAUAUUUUUUUUAUUUUGAAAAUUUUAAUAUUUAUUUUUUAUUUUCUUAAAUUUGAAACCAUAUCCCCAAAAUCUCACUCCUUAACACUUAACCCUAAAUAUAAAUUAGUUAGCUCUAGGGUAAAAAUGUAUUUUUAUUCUUUAAUAAAACUUAUUUUGGUUAUUAUCUUCAUUGAGAACUAUUUUUGUGACAAAAACUUGAAAAAUGAUAUCUAAAGAAUUUUUCUUUAUUAUUCAUUCUUAAAAUUGAUGAGAAAUAUAAUGAACAUGGUUGUGUUACCAUGAAGCCUUACAGUGGAGUUUUUGAAGAGUUUGUCAUAUAUUCCUCGAUGAUAUAGCAACGAGAAAAGGCACUGGUCUCAGCCUCUCAGGCUCCGCAUUUUCCAUCAAAUUGUUUUUUUUUUCUAAAAAGUUUUCAUAUAUUUUUUUUGUCAUUUUUUUCGACUUACAACAACUAGAAAUUAAAAAGAAACUAAAAAUUAAAAAUAGAACCACCAAGGUGAGCACCGGUUUACCAAAAUUGGGAUUGGAUCUUGAAACCCUAAAUCCACGGUAGAGAGAACAAAAGUGAUGACGGCCACCGCUGAAUAGAAACCGCCUGAACAUUCCUUCGAAUAAGCAGUACGUCGACUGCAAAUCCUUUUUCAUCAAAAUAGAAACCGCCAGAAUACAUUAGUUUAUAUGUGUAAUACUAUUUUAUAUAAAUAUUUUCCUCUUUGAAAUUCUUUUAAUGUUUACAUCAUUUACUAAUUCAUUUUCUAUAUUCAUUUUAUACUUUAAACUAUUUCAGAUUAUAAAUUUACUACACAAUAUAGAUAUAGUAAAAAUAUGCAAAUUAUCAUAAAUUUAUAUGUAUAUUUAAAUAAUUCUAGUGGAGUUUUUUUAUAAAACAGGAAAUGAUAUGAUGAUUGAUUUUUUUUAUUGUUAUCAUAUCUUCAUAAAUAAUAAAAUAUUGCGAUAUAUAUUUUAUAUAAAAAAUAUAUACUGUAUUUAUAACUUCAAUCAUUUUAUUUUUAUAUUAAAAGUUUGUUUUUCAAAAAUAGCCUUUUGGCCAAAAGAAGCCUGAGCACGGCUCUGUCGACGACGCAACCAUAUAUAAAUGACCUGAUGAGGUGAAGUGCUGGAAAUAAGACGUCAGUCUUGAAGGUGCAGGUUCCAUCCAUAAUGAUUUCAGAAAGGCUAGUUUUGCCAUGGUCAUAAAACGAGAGGAUAUCAAGGAACUUGGCUUUUGCAUAUAGCAUUUCAGCAAGUAUAAACCUUGCAUGCAGGAGUGUCAAAAUGAGCUAUAGCUCAUUAUCUAACUCAGUUCAGCUUUUUUAUUCAUGAACAUGAUCUCUAUAUUUUAAAUUCAUUUAAUAAAUGAGUUUAGUGAUCGAGUUUAAAUUAGAUCACGAGUUAUAUGAAUGAUCUUUGAUGAACAUGAACUGGCUCAUGAGCUUGUUCAUUUUUAUACUUACAAUUAUAUAUAAUAUAUUUAUAUAUACUAUAUUUGGAUAACUUCUAUUUUUUUAUAUAAAAAAUAGAUAAUUUCUAUAUCUAUCAUAUAUGCCUUCUAAAAUUAAAAUGUCAAACCAAAUCUUAUAAGAAGAUAAUAUCUAUAUUAAUCAUAUUUGUCUUCUAAAAUUAAAAUGUAAAACAUACAUAUAAGACAUUGAAGAUAAAUUAUCUCAAGACUCUCACGAAGAAUAAGGAUUUGGAUCAUUGGUUUUGCUUUAGUUUAAUUUAUAUUAGGUGUUGUCUUUUAAUUUUUGUCUUGUAUUGGUUUUUAUUUAGUGUUUAAUAUUUAUGUUUUGGAUUUUUUAAUAUUUAAAUUUUGAACAAUAAUAUAGAAGUUAUUCUAUCACUAUUUUAUUUUAUAAUUAUUAUUUUUAUUUAGAUCACGAGUUAGCUCAUUUAACUCAUGAUCUAGAUGAUAUGAGUUCGAGUUUACAUAUUGAAUCUCAUAUAAUAAAUGAGUUGAGCUGAGCUAGCUCAUGAAAGAACCGAGCUCACUGUGAGCUGAGCUGAGUUGAGCGAGCUAGCUCAUUUUGACACCCCUACUUGCAUGUGGUAUAGGUUUUUAGAGAAGUUUUUAAAACCGGGAGGAUUUGAUACAUGGACUAUUGAAGCCACAUCAGGACACAUCAUAUGAAGAGAGAGAGAGAGAGAGAGAGAGAGAGAGAGAGAGAGAGAGAGAGAGAGAGAGAGAGAUCCAAGCUCUCAAAGUAUUUUAUUUUAUACUAAAUUUAUUAAUAAUAUUAUAUUGUUAAUUAUAAAAUUAAUAUAAUAAUAAUUGGCCAAAAAUUAAAAAUGAAUUUUGAAUUCAUUAGAUUAGAUAAUUGAUAUCAAAAACAACCAAAAAUAAAAAUGUAUUUUAUAAUUUAAAAGAUAAUUACUAUAUUUUUUUGUUAUCCAAAAUAAGAUAUUUUAUUCAUAAAAUAAAAUAUUAAAAACAGAAAGAUGCAUGAUUAAAUAUUUAUCAAGUAAAAAUUUUAAUAUUAUAUAAUACAACAUUGAAUACUGAGUGAUUUUAAUUUUUUAUUAAUAAUGAAUGUAGCGUAUAAAGAAUUUUUUUAAAUAUUUUUAAUAUGUGAUUGUUUUUUAAAAAUGCAAUAAUGAUUAUAUAUUUUGAUAUUUUAUAUAUAAAUAAUAUUAUUUUUGCUUAAACUUUUUAAAAACAAAAAAGAAUUAUCAUGAUAGUGUUUGAAUUAGUAAAACAUAUACUAAUAAGUAACUGUCAGAUGGUUAUUCUCGCAUAGAUGGACAAAACACAUAGUAAGAAUAUAAACAAGUACUCUUUCAUUCUAAAAUCAUGGAAUAGUUUGUUAUUCUUCUUUCUCUAGACUCUGAAAUUUCUUUCUCCUUUGUGAUUGCUAGGAGAAUCUAAACUAUUAAAACUGAAGUACAUUUUGAAUUUAACCCUGACUUUUUUCAGCAAUAAUUAUUAUUGCAUGCCACUGACUUAGACCAUUUGUAUUAAAUUAUCAAACCACCUCAAUUUAAUUUAUUUAUUAAUAGAUCAUCAUUAUAACCUUAACCUAUCAUAACUUUUUACAACAUUUGAAAAAUCUCCAAAUAUCCAAUCUAUGCUUCAUGCAUCAUGCCUACCAUUGAGUGCUCCAUUAUUGAUCCAUUGUUCAAAAACGCGGGCUAGGAAGCCCGCUAAUCACCGGAAACACGCAAAUCAUACUACAUCCUUGGCGGAUUGCUGAUAAUAGGCCAGUAAAUCGGAAGAUGAAAGUACUCAAUGUUUUCAUGGUUUUAAUGUUUAAUAUCGCACAUGUGUCUUAGAUUUGAUGUAUUCUCUUUAAAACUUACAAGAAUAAUGAGAAAAUCUGUGAAACCGAGAAAAAAAAUAAAAGAGCGGCUGGAUGUUACACAGAAAUCGCAGUGGGAGGUUGAAGAUAAGGUUAAUUUUGUCAUUUCCUAAAUCAUUUAACCUAAUUAUUUUUACAAAAAUUGACAAAUUGGGCGCAAACGCACAUUUAAACCCGGGUCUAUUUGUAUUUAGUCAACGCCUCUAACCACUAGACUAUGAUACAACAACACAAAACAAGCACAUGAUUAAUAUAUAUACCCAUCUCAUAUUAAUUAAUUGAUUCGCACUAGACCCUACCCGACCGAACACAUUUCACCUAACAAAAUAUAAUUCCUAUUUAUAGGUAUGCAAUUAACAAAAUGUAAAUCAUAUACAAAGAUUCCUAUUAACAACCUUAAUCAGUAGUGCUUUCAUAUUAUCUUUUUCGCGACUCACCAUUAUUUUGAAUUCCUUUUGGUUAAAAUUUUGUAUAAAUACGAUGUAAUUGCACAUACUAGGAAUAUCCAAGCACAUGUGUGUGAUUAAAAGCCUUAUGAUAUUUUAUAUAUUAAUUUAUUUUUAUAUUUCGAAAAAAUUAAAGUAUAUUAUUAGAAUUUAUAUAUUAUAUAUUAAAUUUUUUAUACAUUUUGAGAAAAUUAAAGUAUAUAUGAAUUUUAAACCCUUCAAAAAUAAUUUAAACGGAUUAUCUGAAUCCGAACUGAACCUGGACUGAAAUUUAUAAAUACAUGAAUAUGGUUGAAAUCUUCAACUAAAAAAUUUGAAAUCCAUAUAGAUCCGAACCAAACCCAAGUGGAUACCUGAAUCUGAAUGAAUACAAGCAUCCUAUAGAUACAUUUGAAAAAGAUAACCAAUUAUAUUUGAUUUAUAAAAAAUAAAACAAAUGUUCGCGCGGAUCAAAGUUUUGUUUGUUCAUUAGGUUUGAAGAUCAUUCUUAAAUCAAGAUCUUCUACAUCUGAGCUACAAAUCAUUGUUUUAUGAAUGGUGAUUUGAUUCAAUAGUGGAAUCAUACGGAUUAAAGCUAUCAUUCAGACAAUUCAGCGUGGUGUAGAAAAACCAGCUUCUCUAGAUCAGUAGGAUAAAACUUUGUGUCGGUUUCAUGUCGGAUCUUGGUCAUAACUUGAGGAUGUUUUGAGAGAAGCCAGAAGAACCAAGUGAAUGAUGAGCUUGCAGUAUCCCUUAAAGCUAACAAAAGACUCAAUCAUGCUUAGGAGUAAAAAUGCUUAUGAUAAGAUAGACUUUGAUAGGAAGAAACAACCUCAUUUUCAAAAUAUAAAUGCAAUUUGAUCUUAUUAUAUAUAUAUAUAUAUAUAUUUUUUUUUCUUUUUUUUUUUGAAACAUUCAUGCCUUUUUUGAACAACCAAAUGCUUAUAUUAAAGGUUCAAUGGGCUAAGUCAGUUAUAACCGAAGGAAAACUCAACGGUAAACUGGUAGACGAAAAAAACUAAGACAAGACGAAAGAUAGAUGUGGCUAAACAGAGAAGAAACCCAAAGAGAAGCUUCACUUGUAGCCCUAAAGCCCACGUUCGAAGGAACACACAAACAUUGAAAAUCGACUUUGAAGAACCCAACAAAUCGAUUUUAAAAAUGGUUGAAACCUGUCUGUGAAGAUGCCUGGAUCGCUGGAGGGACCAGAGGCUGUCGCGGGCAGGACUCUAAAAGUUCGCCAGAGAAGGUGGAAGCCCUCUCCAGCCGGAAAGUGAAAGUCGUCACAACAGCUUGAGGGACGGUGGCAGUGGUUUGCACUGACAGAGAUCAGACCGUGUAGAGGGGAGGUGACGGAGACACGAGUUUGACUCGAGAUAGAGGCGGUGACGGCAUCAUGCGUAGAUCUGGCCGACAACCCGUCGUUAACGCUUCUGCAGACAAUAAGAUCAUGGAUCUGAUGAAAAAGGAUCUCAACGCGCCAAUGAAGACCUGUUGAGUAGGGUACAACAUGAGCAAGACUUCCGAGAACCUACGAUAAAGAAAAUAGCUCCGGUUUGAAGGUCACAUAGUUGACUUACAGAACCGUCGAUUGAGACGGCGUAAUGUGAUGGAGGCACAACAAUAAUGGAGUAGCUAGUAGAUCUGGCAAGAAAACAAUCUUGCACAAUAGUUCUUUAGCCGCAUAUACGACUCUGUGAAGAACCGUCAUGUUUGAAACAAACAUAGUGUGAUAGAGACGCAGCGAUGACAUAGUGAUCAAAUCUGGCGAAUCCACAUUCUUGCAUAGUAGAUACGGCAAAGAGGAAAGGGGUGGGUAAAACAGGGGACGAGGCGAGGAAGCCGGUGAUGUCAAGAGGCGGAGUGGAAGUGGAGAGGUGGCGAAGACACAGCUCCCGUACAAUAAAUGUAAAUGUUAGCUGAACUGGAUUUGAAAUAGGGCUCUCAUAAGCCAGAAUAUGGGCUUGGCCCAACCAAACACAAUCACAAGCAAAGGCCAUAGCUAUAUCGGAGCUUCCUGAUUUGUAGACGGUAGAAGCGCGCAUGUCAAAGUUUACGCCGGUGGUGGGUACGUUGCGGUGACCAACAGGAGGGCCACGGUCGAUGGUCAGAGCAGUUAGCGGGAGUGAUAGAUCUGGUGUUGGAGCUUUAACAGUCCUAACGGAGGAAGAAAAACGGUGACGAAUGCGGUGGGUGGAGAUGGCAUUCCGGGAGCGCAGUGGGUGGAGACAGCGAGCGGCAGAGAUGAAGGUGAAUAUUGUGAUGGUGCUUGAGUACAACCAGAGCGAGCCUAAACGAAUUGGUAUUGUCGAGGAGGGAAGAAGAUACGGAGCAGAAUAAAAGGGAACCAGACUAAAUAAAACAGCGGAGAUGGAGUGAACGAUGAAAAAAGUAAUGAAUGGAGUUGAACAGCGUCGACGCCGGAGAGCCAAGCCGCUGCCAGCAUCGGAGAAAGCUAGCAAAAACGGCGCCUUAGAUUCUGUGCCCGAGAGAGAUUCAAAACUAGGGUAUGCAUGCUUUUAUCUUAAAAUAUUGCUAUUGAGCCUCUAAUACGUUUUGAAAAUAAAACAGGAGAGCUGCGUAUUGUUCUAUCUUUACUUGAAUCACUUGGUAUUGGAUUUGCAUGUGACCGCACCUGUAUUACAUGAUGCACAGAUUAAGCGAUGAUUCUUCCGUUUCUAUUUUAGACUGUCCAUCUAACCAAAUUUGAAAAUAUUUAUUUAAUAUUAAAUUAUAUUCAAAAUAAUUAUGCAAUACAUAAAUUUAUAAAUAUAUAAACUAUAAUAUUUCACAAAUAUAGAUUAACAAUUUGAUCCGGUCUAGAAUCUAGAUCAUGUGGCACUCAGUUUAAGACAAACACAGUAAAUGAGUUUGAGGGGUUUGGUCCGAUCCGGUCAGUUGAGCUAGAUCAGCCAUGAACAAUUUCCAACCAACUUUCUGCAUUUAAUUGAAUCUAGGUUAGUAUAAACUCCAUCCGUUUCAUAAAGAUAUUUUUUAAUGUUUUCACACAUAUUAAGAAAACACAUUAAAUCACUAUAAUAAAUGUAUUGUUUUAUGUAAUUUUCAAUUUUCUAUAAUUUUUAACCAAUAAUAAUUCAAUAAGUCAAUUAAUUUUCUUGAAAAUCACAUUUUUAAUAGAAAAUACAAAAAGCCUAUUUUUGUGAAAUAAUUUUUUUCUAAAACAUCUAACUUAGCGAAAUAGAAAGAGUAGCAAACAACUUAACGAAGAUUAUUGUAUCAAUAGUGUUUCGUAGCUUUCAUUUUUUCAUUGUAUUCAACUGUUCCUUCCUCCACAAGAAAUCCCACGGCCAACCAGUUCUCAAGAAGUUCUAUUUCUAACUUCUCAUAUCUUCGACCAGACCUUCGAAGUUCUUGAGGCCACCAAUCUAACUUUUUCUUUCAAAGGGCCAUGACCGGAUCAUAAUCCUAUUUCUAAUUGGUUUAAGAGAACCAAAUCUAGUUCUAACGGGUUUAAAUAUAUAAUAAACCAAAUACAUUUAAAAUAGACCAAUAUGGUCGUGGCUAAUAUUUUAAGCCAAUCAUAAACCAAGUUGGUUGUCCUUCCACUUUUUAAGUCGAUAAAGACCUUUUUCGACCAACAAUUUAUUGGGCUCGUUCCACUUCAACUCUUGUCUGGACAUUGUUCUUCUAGACCCAUUUGGUUGAUGAAAAUGCACUAUUUUCAACUUUGGAUCUUCAACUUCCAUUUCUAAUUCUCAACCAUUUCGGCUAGACUAGUCCAUCUCUAGACCAUGCCUGCUUAUGAAUUUCAUUUCCAGUCCUUACAUGUUUCCCUGGCUCAUUUCCUGAUCAAGGAGGUUGCUUAUUGGUCGUCCAUGCUUGUUCAAAGUCCAUGCUUGAUAAAGGCGGUACCAGUGCCCAUACCUUUUCUCGGUUCAAUGCCUUGUGGAUCAAGUUUAUUAGCUUUCCAUAAAGUACAUUAGGACAUGCCUUGACCCAUUAUCUAGUUGGUUCUUCCAUGAUCUUCAGACCUUUGAAAUUGAGCCUUAUCCAAGUAGCACUAUAUAUAUUAUAAGUUUAAUAUGUUUCUUUUGAUUUAUUCUAGAUUUAAAUUUUGGGAGCAAGAUAGAUUUUCAUGUUGAUUCACUAAAAAAUAGAAAUUGAGUUAUUGUUAGAUAAAAUUCUAUCGAUAUGAUUAGAUUUAUAAUAAUAAUUAUUUAAUCAUUUAUAAUAUUAAAUUAAUUCUUAGUUUGUUAUAAAAAUGAGGUCAAAUAUUUUUUUCUUGAAAUUAUGUUUGUCAACUUGAAAUUAAAUAUUUUUUUGAAAAUUAUUUAACUAACUUUAUAAAUAAAAAAUAUUAUUUUGUCUUAGACAUCUCCAAUGGUUGGCUUCAUUUUAUGCUUCAAAAGUUCACUUUAUUCAAAACGAAGCAGAUAUAUGAAGCACAUCUUCUCCAAUGGUAUGCUUCAUUUAUUUCUUGUAAAAGAAAUAUUCCAAAUAUAUUUCAUGUCCGCUUUAUGAUUAAUUAUUAAUAACAUCUUGUAUUUUUUAAUAUUUACUAGUUUUACCCAACUAUUUUAUUUUUAACAAUAAUCCAACACAGUUAUUAUAGAUUCAACAUUAUCAUAUAAUAAAAUUAUUACACAUAAGAACAACAACAAUACUAGAUAUUAAGUGUUACUUUAUGUUGUAUUAAGUAUUUUAUGUUUAGUUUGGUGUUAUCAAUCAUGUAUUUCACUUUUAUAUUAAUAAUUUAAUGUUAUCUUUCAUUUAAUAUAUGUUUUAAAAUAUUUAGUAUCAUAAAUUAAAUAAAUUUAUAUAAUAAAUAAAUAAAUAAAAUUAAUUGGGUUAUAUUUAUUAAUAUAGUUUAUUUUGUCAAAAAGUAAAAACAAACAAAAAUUAAAAACCAAUUUAUAGUUUAGAAAGUUCAGCUUAAAAAUGAAGCAAUGAACAGUAUAAUUUAGAAAGUUCAGCUUAGAAAGUUCAGCUUAAUGGGGUAUCACUUUCCACAUUUAUAUUUAAUUUUAGACACAUGUACGUAUUGUUUCACAACUGUUACCAGCGUAACCGAAAUAAAAGUUUCAAUUUAAUUAGAUAAAAAGAUAGUACCGAACUACCGAUUAGUUAGCUAUGAUUUUUGAAUUAUGCGUUACUGUUCAAGACAAAAAUGUAAAUGAGUUUGAGAGUUCGGUCCGACACCGUCAGUUGAGUCAGGUCAGCCAGCAACAUAUUUUCCCACCAACAUUCUGCAUUUAAUUGAAUAUCGGCUAUAUAUAGGAAACCAACUAAACUAAGAUUUUUGUAUCCAUACUCAUAAAUACAUUUGUUUAAAAAUGGGGAUGAUAGGCUUACUUGAAGUCUUCGCAGCAUUCCUUUUUUUCCUAGUAUUCAAACAUUUCUUCCUCCACAAGAAAUCUCCCCGCCAGCCUAUUCUCAAAAGCUGGCCUGUCCUCGGGAUGCUUCCAGGAAUGCUCCCCCAUAUCCCUCGUAUCUUCGAGUGGACGUUCGAAGUUCUUGAGGCCACCAACUUAACUUUUUUCUUCAAAGGCCCGUGGCUUAGUGGAACGGACAUGCUAUUCACUGCCGACCCAAGGAAUAUCCAUCACAUACUAAGCUUAAACUUUGGGAAUUACCCCAAAGGACCUGAGUUCAAGAAGAUCUUCGAUGUUUUGGGAGACGGGAUCUUAAGUGUUGAUCUGGAGCUGUGGGAGGAUCUGAGGAAGUCAAAUCAUGCCAUGUUUCACCAUCCAGAUUUCCUGGAGCUGUCAGUAAGUAGCAAUACAAGUAAGUUAAAGGAAGGUCUUGUUCCUUUUCUUGAUAAUGCUGCUCAUGAAAACAUUGUUAUAGACUUACAAGAUGUGUUCAAAAGAUUCAUGUUUGACACUUCUUCGAUUUUGAUGACUGGUUACGACCCAAUGUCGCUAUCCAUCGAGAUGCCCGAAGUUGAGUUCGGUGAAGCUGCGGAAACUGGUGAAGAAGCGAUCUAUUAUAGACAUUUCAAACCGGUCAUCUUGUGGAGGCUUCAAAACUGGUUGGGUAUUGGA
rnacentral:lncRNA from 1 species